AAAAACAAAAAAAAUUGUUAAAAAAAACAUUUUUUCUAUUAUUAUUUUCUCUUCUCUUUCUUCUACCUUCUUUCUCUCUAUUCUCUGCUUCUCUUUAUCUUUCUUCUUUUUCCCUCACCGGUGCCCCCUUCUCCUUCUCCUUCUCCUUCUCUUUUUCUUUUUCUUUUUUCUCUUCUUCUCUUUGCUUCUUACUUCACCUGAGCUGCUGCUGAACUUGAGGACUUUAAAAUAGUCCCCAAACAGAAAAAACGAAAACAAAUAAAACGGAGGUAUGCAAUCUUGAUGCCGCCUAUGGCACCUCCACCUUCAGUGUCGCCUUUGCCAGAGGCCCCACCGGUGCCGCCUCUGACAUAGGCGGCACCACCCAUGAUAUACCAUUUUGGUAAAUAGUAUUUUCUCUAUAUUAUUUUCGUAUUUUUCUCUUUUUUUUUUGUACUAUUUUGGAAAAAAACCCUCUCUAUUGCUAUCCAAAGGCCAUAGGCCUUCCUACUUGGACACGUGUCCACUGCUUCUUUCCCUUUUGUGUCGAAAACUCUUAUUUAUCAUUACUUCUAAGGAAAAAUUUACCCACCACAGAUUUUGGGUUACUCAUCAUGAAGAUUUUAUUUUAUUUUUACCUUUCUUCCUCGAAAUGAACUCAAAAAGAAGUUAAACCCAUAACUUCUGAUGAUCAAAUCUUUAACUCACAAAACACAGAAAAAAGCUACUUUAAGGAUUUAGGGUUUUGUGCAUUUCAACAUCAGUAUUAUGGGCUAAGAAAAAAUGGAGGGAUUACAGAAUAUGGUUUGUUCCUUCUCAAAGGACACAAACUCAAGAUCCCUUUCUUUCUUCUUGGAAAUCCUCUACAGUCCUCGUGGCGGCAACGGCGGUGGAGCAGUGCAGACGAUUCUUUCGGCGAUACCAUUCGUAUUUGUGAACAGGCCUCCCAAGCAAGUUAUCUUGUUGUGGAGGUGUUCAAAACUUGCUUUAUCGCCGGAAUAAUCGUCGACUGCUCCCUCAAAUGCUGUGUAUGGCGUUGGGCUUCAAGGUUCUCAAGCGAUUAAAAGACGAUUAGUGCAACGUUAUUAACCCUUUCAAAUCCAGUUUGGUUUCAUAUUAUGAAAAUGGAUUGCAGAUCUAUUUUAUAGAUAUCUUUGUUGUGGGUGCAUGUUGCUCGUUAAAACUCCACCAGUUACUAAUAGUUUUUCUUAGAAAGCGGGAUGAGUAUCACGUUUUGAGGGCAUGUAGCCAUGCACCGAGCUACCAUCUAGGCGACCGUAUAAUGCCAUACUUGGAAAUGGUAGGAUUUGGUUAGUGGGUCUAAUUAAGAUGUUUGAGUUGCGGUUUGACGUAGUAUCCGCAUUAACUGAGCGGUGGCAGUCGGAGACUCACACAUUCCAUUUACUGUGUGGGAAGUGCACCAUCACACUUGAGGACAUCGCACUACAACUCAAGCUACUAGUGGAUGGUUAUGCGAUCACUGGUUUCAAUAAAGUGGUCGAACCUGUGGCCUUGUGCGACAGUUUGCUUGGUCGAUCGUCAGAUGAUGGGAAGAAUAAAUUUACUAGUUUUGAAUUUUGGUUGGUUAAAACAAAAUUUCAAAAACGUAUUGAGCAAUGCUACGGAGUUGGAGCUUAUUUGCGCUGCUCGAGCAUUUAUUAUGCAGUUGGUAGGGUAUACUGAUGCCGAACGCGAACAGUAAUAAAGUCUAAAUUAAGUACUUGCCCCUAUUGUCAGAUUUACGCAUCGCUCGAGAGUACAAUUGAGCGUCAACAGUAUUGGCAACAUUGUAUCGUGAGCUAUGUCAGGCUACAAAACACAAUAUGCAAGAAAUAAGUGGUUGUCUAAUACUGCUGCAAUCAUGAGCGCCGUAUAGGAUGCUGUUUUUGGUAUCAGUGGGUCACUAACCACCAAUGUGACUGCUUGUAAAUAGAUGGUUUACAUACCCUGCUAUAGGGAGGUCUACAAAGCUUGGGGUGUAUUGUCAAAUAAUCAAGGCAUAUUUUGGGGAGGAGGUGGAGUUUUUAUAAAAAUGUCAAUAAAAACUGUAUUUGGUCACUGUAGUAUAACUAUGUUAAAUAUUUUGCAGUUCGUGUGGAUGCCAUAUUCUGCAUCGGACGUUGCCGUUGUUAUUUCACAGUGGGGUCAUGCACACUCAACUGUGUGGUGCAUCAACGUUUCGGUGUUGAAUUUCUUGAUUGUUAAGUGGUAUAAAGGCGAUCGAUUUCUUCAACAAUUUGAUUGCAAACAACGCUACAAGUAGGUUCGCACAAUCUUAAAUAGUAAAAAUAUUAUUUUUAAAA